AAGGUAGGGGAGAAUGGAAUUCCUGGUGGAGCGGUGGAAUGCGCAGAUAUCAGGAGGAACACCAGUGGCGAAGGCGGUUCUCUGGGCCUUUCCUGACGCUGAGGAGCGAAAGCGUGGGGAGCGAACAGGCUUAGAUACCCUGGUAGUCCACGCUGUAAACGGUGGGUACUAGGUGUGGGGUCCUUCCAGGGUUCCGUGCCGUAGCUAACGCUUUAAGUACCCCGCCUGGGGAGUACGGCCGCAAGGCUAAAACUCAAAGGAAUUGACGGGGCCCCGCACAAGCGGCGGAGCAUGCGGAUUAAUUCGAUGCAACGCGUAGAACCUUACCUGGGUUUGACAUGAUCGGGAGUGCUCAGAGAUGGGUGUGCCUCUUUUGGGGUCGGUUCACAGGUGGUGCAUGGCUGUCGUCAGCUCGUGUCGUGAGAUGUUGGGUUAAGUCCCGCAACGAGCGCAACCCUUGUUCACUGUUGCCAGCACGUUAUGGUGGGGACUCAGUGGAGACCGCCGGGGUCAACUCGGAGGAAGGUGGGGAUGACGUCAAGUCAUCAUGCCCCUUAUGUCCAGGGCUUCACGCAUGCUACAAUGGCUGGUACAGAGAGUGGCGAGCCUGUGAGGGUGAGCGAAUCUCGGAAAGCCGGUCUCAGUUCGGAUUGGGGUCUGCAACUCGACCUCAUGAAGUCGGAGUCGCUAGUAAUCGCAGAUCAGCACGCUGCGGGAAUACGUUCCCGGGGCU
rnacentral:rRNA from 1 species